GGGUGACGUGGACAUCCAGGACAAGGUAACGAGCAAAUGCUUCUUCGAGGUUGAGAUCGGCGGGGAGCGCGUGGGUGAGGUGGUCAUCAGACUCUUCGGCGAGGUCGUCUGAAAGACGGUUGACAACUUCCGUGCCCUGUGCACUGAUAUAGCAGGCUAAUCAAUACUAUGCAAAUUAGCGCUCUGUUUUGGUUGGGGAAGGAGACAAAGGGUACGUAUACAAGGGCCGCUUCUUCCACCGAAUCAUCAAGGAUUUCAUGAUUAAGGGUGGGGAUUUCCAGGAAAACAAUGUCUGAAGAGCAUUAGUGUCCUCUGUUCAGCUUUUUCUCUUCGUCUAUUCGGCAGCCGCUGUUGGUGGACGACGGCAGCCUCAGGUGGUGCAUGGUGGUGCCUGCCACAUUGCCUUGGGUCCUUAUAAAAAAAACACAUAAUAUUGCUUUGGGUCCUGUUAUAGCAACAUUUUUGUUAUGGCCAAAACAUACCAUUUCUUUGUUACAAGAAGUCUGGGUUAGUAAAUGUAUAUCAUCUGAGUCACACUGGUCUGUGCGCCAUCAGCAACUUUAGAGUGGCACUCUUUUCGGAUUAGGGGUUUAUUCCAGGCUCAUUACACUCAGAGGAUAUAUCAACUACUCUUCUUAAC